UCCUAACCUAUCUAAAUAUCCAGAAUUGGAACAAUGAUGUAAUGAUUCGCCGAAACUCUCCGUGCAUUUGGAGCCGCCGGUAAUUUAAAAAAAGUUUUCUUCGCACUUUCACUGAUUCCCUCUUAGGUGGAGGAAAUCCGACGAUUUGGGGAAAACGAAACCCAAACUCUGAAAAAAGUCGAAUCCUUUUCUCAACAAUCGUUUUCACCAACCGAAGGAACAUGAAAAGUUCCGGGAAGGAUUGCAGCAAGUGGCUAACAUUUUCUGGAAACUGGCCUUUUCUUUGCAACGGACUCGGAAAUGUUGUGAGACACGGGCCUUAUGGAUUUAGAUAGUCCUGAGCAGACUCUUAUUCCGAGGGCUUCAAUUAAUGACAAAGCUUGGCUUUUGUUCCUAUGGCAUUACGAAAAUAUAUUGCUGACUUUAAACUAUGCAUGGAUGAAAAAAUAGUUUGUACGGAUUAUCCUAGGUUUUUUGUUUCCUAUGAUUACAGGCUUAUUUAUUUCGGGUUAGUCUAUUAUUCACAUUGAUGGUGCCCUGUAAGAUAAGCAUGUGCGUUGUUUGUCUAAGUCUGCCUCCUCCUUCUGCAAUGUCCCGAUUUGAAUUUUGUUUCAGUAUUCUUCUUUUUAAGUUAGUCUUCCUCCUACUUCUGCAAUGAAAAUCUUUUUUGUUUAGUAUCUCAGCAUAUAAUCUUUUUUCUUUUUGUUUUGUUUUUUUCAUAGCUUUCUAAGACAGUUCUAUUAUAUUUCUUACUUGUGAUAGUUUACUGGUGUUCAAUUUAUUGAAUGUAGUGCAUCACGAGGUAGACUGAAGUAACAAAUAAAUAGGACGCUUAAUAUAUGUUAUGGUUUUAUUGGAAACUAGAUUUAUGAUCGGAGCUAUUAAACAUGCAAUUGUUAUCUACCAACUACUGAAGUAUAGGAGUAGCUAUUUCUUAUUAUUACUAGUCAUGUAAUGGAUGGAAACCAAUCACUGAAAAUCUGCCGUCUACGCAAAUAACUUGGCUAGUGAUUGAUCAAGAAGCAGCUGGGAGGCAUAGGAAUGCAACCAGAGAUUGAAACACCGGAUUGGUGUUCGUGAGAUGAUGCUUUCUAGGUGCUCCUUGUGUUCCAGCGUCUGAGAUGUAAACAGUUAAGAGGAAUGCUGUGGUAAACAUACUAGUGAUGUGCAGACUGGCGAUUGAAUAGUCAGAUUUCGGAGGCUUUGAUUCUCAUGGAUAGGCUGUUCAGAGGGUUUAAGAUUUUCCUUUUAACCUUUCUGAGUUGCACUUGAUGGCCAAAUGGAACUGAGAAGGUAGAAAACAAAAUUGUGUUUCAGUAUUUGACCUCGGGGAUGAGAGUCGGUUUCUCAAAGAGCUCGAGGAUGUAAAGGUUUUCGUGGACUUUGGUUUACUUCCUAGAUCAUAUGUUGGAGUUUGUAAAGCUUGCUGGAUGAGCUCUUCGAACUUGCUGGAGGACUUCAAGGAGGCUCUGAACCUCCAGCAUUCCAGCGUGCUGCAAAUGGGAUAAGGGCGGAAGCUACGGUGGAGAGAAAUGCUUUGUCAUGGUGGGAACUACCCAGUUUAAGAGCUGUCGUCUACUUCUAGGAAAUGUUUGGCACAAAGAACUGUCUAUCUGUUGUACAACGUCGCAUUCUCAGGAAACUUAGGAGCAAGAAGAGAUCCCGUAGUUGGAAAUGCUGCGCCAAACCAGCACAGUCACAUUCAAUUGGCCACUUGACGAAAGUUGUCCCUUUUUUACCACAAAGGAAUCCAUAAAAGAGAAUGAACAACAUCUGAAUUUGUCCUGUUUUUACUCGAUGUGGAUUCAUACCCAUUUUUGCCAUGAGUAUCCCUCAAGCAAGGCAGCUGAUCAGUCAUCGAAGAGUAUGUGUUAAUAAUGCAGUCAGAAGUAUCUCAUUUCAAAACAAUGAGGUGGUCAGUGCAGAAAUUCGGAGAUCUCAUUUCUGCUCCGUACUCAAUAUUAUGGGUCAAGUUCAGAUCCAAUUGUGGAGAAGAACCAAAGUAGAAUGGUUACGCCUACUCAAAACCAAGGCGGGGAGCCGUAUACUAAUGAAAUCAGAUUUUCUAGUUUCCUACUCUCUUUUGUUUUUCAUUAAUUUCCUCCAUAUAUCCAUUUAGCUUGUAAAAUUGUGUAGCUUGUCUGCGCUUGGAAUAUAUAGUGUUGUUUUGUAUAUCUAGUGUCUGUACUUAGUAAAAACUCAAGAGAGCCUCAGAGAUGAUAGUGUUCUCUUCAUUGUCCUUUGUAUCACUCGAAUGAAAUCCAUUUAUGAGAAAAUGCAGUGUUAUGUUAAAGUUCAA